UCAACACUUAUUUACAUAUUUACUGUAUUAAAUUGCAUUACAUCGUGAUGAUCUAUCUGUUCACUUUCAACUUCUUACCCUUAUUUAUCACUUUUGUCCUCAGGUCUUCGAGGGGAUCUAUCUAGAGAUUUAGAUGAGUCUUUGAUGCAAAUUGCAAGGACUAUAGAAAAUGCAGUGUCACCGGUAAAAGUUUACCUUGCAUUUCCCCCCUUAAUUAGUUUUUUCUUAUCUGUUUUUUGGUUUCUAAAAAAUUAUUGUUGUCUACUUUUUCACUAAACUCUGUGCGUUGAUGAAGGUGAUUUUUCCCUUCCUUUUUCUAGGUACGCACGUCAUGCAUAAAAUUAGUGCAAAGAAAAUAGGAAGGUUGGUGACUAGCUAGGAGUAACCACACAGGUCACGAAUUCUUCAUUACAAAAGUGCUUUACACUCGGAGUUUGGUGCUAGCAUGGGGGCAUUGACGCAUUAUGACCAUGAUUACUAUUGUUUUUGGAGGCUUUUCUUUGGUCAUGACGGUAUUGUUGUCAAUUGAAUUAGUGGUUUGCUUUGCGAUGAUAUUGAUUUUUAUAUUCCUAAAUGUGUGUGGCUUGGUGUAUGACCUACGUAGUUGUAUAUGUCUUCCAGUUCUUUGUUGAUACAAAUCUUGCUUAUCCACAAUGAAGGCUUUACUACUUAUUAUGAGGAAUUUGUGUGACUGGUUGUUGGUCAGAUUUUGAUUUGCUAAAUUAUGAUCAAUAUAGUUGCAGUUCUGAUCAAAAUUCCACCCAAAACCUUUUUAUUUUCCUGAAACGUGCUUCCUUUUUGAUAAUUCAGAUGUCCGUGCCAGUUUUCGCGCACCUCAACUAAUCCUGUGGGCUCCACCGCCCACUUGCAUGGAGUUAUAGAGAGUCCUCGACACGUUUGUGAAACUUUAAAAGGAAAUGGAACAGGUUGCAUUUGCAUUUGCAUUUCUUCAACAAGUCUAUGACAAUUAGCUUGGUUCUACUCCAAGCUAUAGCAUUGCUGCAUCUAUUUGGCUGAG